rnacentral:rRNA from 1 species
CAGUCGCCGCGGUAAUACGUAGGUGGCAAGCGUUGUCCGGAAUUAUUGGGCGUAAAGGGCUCGCAGGCGGUUUAAUAAGUCUGAUGUGAAAGCCCACGGCUCAACCGGGGAGGGUCAUUGGAAACUGGGAAACUUGAGUGCAGAAGAGGAGAGUGGGAUUCCACGUGUAGCGGUGAAAUGCGUAGAGAUGUGGAGGAACACCAGUGGCGAAGGCGACUCUCUGGUCUGUAACUGACGCUGAGGAGCGAAAGCGUGGGGAGCAAACAGGAUUAGAUACCCCAGUAGUCCCUGUCUCUUAUAC